rnacentral:rRNA from 13 species
UUUAACGUCCAUACCAUGCUGAAUACACCGGUUCUCGACCGAUCACCGAAGUUAAGCAGCAUCGCGCGUGGUUAGUACACGGAUGGGUGACCGCCUGGGGACACCGCGUGCUGUUUGGC